GCGGAUCGCGUCCUGUGCUCACAGGACGCGACCACAGCUCGUGACGCAGCUUCCCAAGCUCUAGACGUGGGUUCGAUUCCCAUCACCCGCUCCA
rnacentral:tRNA from 1 species